GAUGAACGCUGGCGGCGUGCCUAAUACAUGCAAGUCGCGCGAAGCGGGGACGGGUGAGUAACACGUGGAUAACCUCCUAUAAGACUGGGAUAACUUCGGGAAACCGGAGCUAAACCGGAUACUUAUCUAUUGAUCCGCGCUGCAUUAGCUAGUUGGUAAGGUAACGGCUUACAAAGGCAACGAUGCAUAGCCGACCUGAGAGGGGGAUAGGCCACACUGGAACUGAGACACGGUCAAGACUCCUACGGGAGGCAGCAGUAGGGAAUCUUACGCAAUGGGCGAAAGCCUGACGGAGCAACGCCGCGUGAGUGAUGAAGGUCGUCGGAUCGUAAAACUCUGUUAUUAGGGAAGCGGUACCUAAUCAGAAAGCCACGGCUAACUACGUGCCAGCAGCCGCGGUAAUUC
rnacentral:rRNA from 1 species